CCAAAUAUACCUUGGCUGUGGCCUAAUCCUCAUCAGAUCUCGGACGCUAAGCGAGGUGAAGCCUGGUUGGUCCUUGGAUGAGAGACUGAUUGGGCAUACCAGGUGACAGGA
rnacentral:rRNA from 1 species